UGAACGCGAAGAACCUUACCAAGUCUUGACAUCCCUAUGAAUAACGGGUAAUGCCGUUAGUACUUCGGUACAUAGGAGACAGGUGGUGCAUGGUUGUCGUCAGCUCGUGUCGUGAGAUGUUGGGUUAAGUCCCGCAACGAGCGCAACCCUUAUCUUUAGUAGCCAGCAGUAAGAUGGGCACUCUAGGGAGACUGCCAGGGAUAACCUGGAGGAAGGUGGGGAUGACGUCAAAUCAUCAUGCCCCUUAUGACUUGGGCUACACACGUGCUACAAUGGCGUAAACAAAGUGAAGCGAAGUCGUGAGGCCAAGCAAAUCACAAAAAUAACGUCUCAGUUCGGAUUGUAGUCUGCAACUCGACUACAUGAAGCUGGAAUCGCUAGUAAUGGCGCAUCAGCUACGGCGCCGUGAAUACGUUCCCGGGUCUUGUACACACCG
rnacentral:rRNA from 1 species